CUUUGGGAUAACCCUCGGAAACGGGGGCUAAUACCGGAUACAACCUUUGGUCGCAUGACUGGGGGUGGAAAGUUUUUCGGCCUGGGAUGGGCUCGCGGCCUAUCAACUUGUUGGUGGGGUGAUGGCCUACCAAGGCGACGACGGGUAGCCGGCCUGAGAGGGCGACCGGCCACACUGGGACUGAGACACGGCCCAGACUCCUACGGGAGGCAGCAGUGGGGAAUAUUGCACAAUGGGCGGAAGCCUGAUGCAGCGACGCCGCGUGAGGGAUGACGGCCUUCGGGUUGUAAACCUCUUUCAGCAGGGACGAAGCGCAAGUGACGGUACCUGCAGAAGAAGCGCCGGCCAACUACGUGCCAGCAGCCGCGGUAAGACGUAGGGCGCGAGCGUUGUCCGGAUUUAUUGGGCGUAAAGAGCUCGUGGGCGGCUUGUCGCGUCGACUGUGAAAACCCGUGGCUCAACUGCGGGCCUGCAGUCGAUACGGGCAGGCUAGAGUUCGGUAGGGGAGACUGGAAUUCCUGGUGUAGCGGUGAAAUGCGCAGAUAUCAGGAGGAACACCGGUGGCGAAGGCGGGUCUCUGGGCCGAUACUGACGCUGAGGAGCGAAAGCGUGGGGAACGAACAGGAUUAGAUACCCUGGUAGUCCACGCUGUAAACGUUGGGCGC
rnacentral:rRNA from 1 species